UCUUUUUCACUCCUUACCUUCAUGAAUAAAGAUCUUACACACAUAUGCCUUGUUCUUGUUACGUGCAGGCACCAGUGAAGUGUCGUAUUCACGUAGACAAGCCUAGGAAGCCUGUAGGCGCCAUUGGCCGCCUGAUGCCCAGACAAUCACCGCCACUGGUGCACGACAUUCUUAUGAACGACACACAAGUGAGUGUGAUGGUGGACUCCGUCAUCGAGGAGCAUCGUGAUUAUGCUAUCCCGCUACCUCCAGAGGAAGGCGUGGAUAUCCUAGGCGGUUGUCCAAACUACCGCAUUAUGUGGCCUAGGAGCUUGGUAUCUCUCUACAACCAGCGCCAGUCCUCUAUGACUCCAUCUCCCUCCGCCCACAAAGGUACUUCUCAAUCACCGCUCAGCCUUUCCCCUAGGAUACUGCCUCCUGUCGAUGCUGGCGGAUAUGAAGAGCAGGCAAUGUCGAUGCCUCCACAGCUUAAAGAUAGCCAGACCACAGGGUCGGCACAGGCUAGAAGCGUCCCUCCUACCUUCUCUCUCUUGGGUGCCGCUGAGUCCAUAGGUGGCCGCAAGAUCGAUGACAAGUACAAGGCAGAGGAGCAAAAGGCAUGGGACAAUAAGAGGAGGCAUAAAAAGAGGGGGCACGGCGGCAAGACCAUCAAGGACUCCUCGAAUGUCAAUCAUGGUGAGAUGCACUAUGUGCCUGACAUAACUGGAGUGUGGGAAGACAAUAGGCCUGACAUUCUCAUGAAGAACCCCCGUCAAGGCCAGAGAUUCGAAGACGGAUCCUAUUUCGUGGCUAGGAAGUUUGACCGGGUGCUUAUUUACUAUCCUGGAAGACCGAUGCUCACCGAAGAUUUCCUGCGUGCCGUGUCCAGAGAGAUGCAAGAGCUUCAUCAGUUCUACAUGCAAGCAUCAGCUGGUUCUCAACAGCAUGCCCAACAAAUUAAUGUUCAAAUCCUACGAGACUAUGGCUUCUUUGACCAAGAAACCGGGAGCAUUCAGGAACGUCUUAUCACCUUUGGUGUGGAGUUCAACGAACUGUUCUACCUCUUCAACCACCAAAAGCUUGAUAUCAACCCUUUUAAGGCUGUGGUCUGCCUACCAAAUAAGAGAAAUGCGGUAAAUCGAGGUCAAAAAAGUAGCCAUUAUAGACCCCGCGGUUAACUACGGUGACAUCGGUCUUGAGCCAGAAAAGGAUCCCUCAAGAAUCCUGGCGUCUAAAUACUUGGUGGCAUGUCUGGAAAAAUACGCAGACCACGACUACCUCCUCUUCUUCCUUAAUUUGGAGUAAGUUGAAUUUUAUAUAUGAAACCGUUUGUUUUUCCUAAUUUAGUCUUUCUUAUACACCCUUAGAUACUAAAGUUUGUUUUUUUUGAAAACAGAGACCAUUGGGUGACACUACUCAUUUGUUUGCCUUGGUCCGCAAUGUACUAUUUCGAUUCACUACUUCCGAAGAAGAGUGUUCGAGGUCACUACUGGAAACCCAUCAAAUCACUCAUUAACACUGCCUGGAAAGUUGCGACCAAGGGAAAACUAGCUGGUAAAGGCUAUAAAGUCGAGCCUCACCACAACCACAGGUUCCCUUGCCAGCAACAGCCGGCCGACAGUGUGUACUGUGGCUACUACUGCUGUCACAUCCUUAUGGAGAAUGCCAGCAUGUUUAAGCCUGAGUGGAAGGGUCAAUCGCGGUGAUGGAAGAGUACUGGCGGCCCCGAAUGACAAUGGGACACCAACCUAAAUGGGUUGUGUAUAACAUUCAAAGGGAGUUCGCCCAUCUCAUCAACAAUGAGGUCAUCAAGCCUAGUGGGGACUUCUACGAACGCGUGGAACAAGUGGUGACUAGGGUUCACCCACAACAAUAGUUUCAAACUUGAUUUUGCUAUGAGAUUUUGACACUUUGUAAUCAAUGUCGUGCAGUUAGAUACAUUUGUAUUCUUUAUAUGCUUUAAAUGAUGCGGCUUUAUAUACAUUUGUAUGCUUUAAAUGAUGCGGCUUUAUAUACAUUUGUAUGCUUUAAAUGAUGCGGCUUUAUAUACAUUUGUAUGCUUUAAAUGAUGCAGCUAUGUAUUUUUCUGUGCUGAGCAGUGUAUUCAAAUAUAUAUUUUUCUGUGGUUUUAAUUAAUUUUUUUAUUACUGAAAAUGUAUUAGUGUCGGUCGCUCGUCCGACACUGAUAUGGCAAAGUGACCGUUACUGAUGUACAUAUCAUCAGUGACGGGCGCGGAAACGUGACCGUCACUGAUGAUGGUCUUCAUCAGUAACGGUCGGGUCAGGCCGCCCGCCACUGAUGAUGGUACAUCAGUAAGGACGCAGCGACCGUUACUGAUGAUAGGUACAUCAGUAACGAUUGGAGCGACCGUUGCUGAUGAUACCCAUCAUCAAUAAAAGGAAGUUAGUAACGGAGGCCCCGACCGUUACUGAUGUUGUUUUCGUUACUGAUAAGUCUUUCUGUAGUAGUGUUGUCUUGUACUCCAAAUCUAUCUCCUCCUUUGUACCUCUAUAUAUACCCCAUAUGAAGAUCAGAUCAAUAACAAUAUCGAUUAUUGUGGAAUACCAAUUAGACUUUCAAUCUCAUAUUUCUACAUGGUAUCAGAACGGUUAGACUAACAUCACCAACUCUUGACACACAGCUUCCGCAUCAUGCCGCGUCCGGGGAGAUCGAUGGCUCCCAUAGUUUCCCCUCCGAUCAUCAUACCUGAGAUCGGUUAUUAAAUUAGAUGAGUUUCCAAUCAUAGAUUGAUUUCCUUAGCCAAAUAAAGUCUUUCAGAUCUAUCCACGACCCUCGAUCAGUGACAACAAAUCGAUGCAGAUCGAUGUGCAUACACCUGUGCUAUAUGCCUCCAGUGCUCCACGUCCUCGGCAGGCGUCCGCAAUCGCACCGGCCAUGCCCGGCACACGCACACCAGCAGCAUCGACCGGACUCCACGCGGUGCGAUGCACAGCGACGGCUUCUCCAAGCGACCAUGCAGCCCUGCCGAUCAGGCCGGGGAGGACGGAUCUGUGUCGAACUCACGAGCCCGAACAUGCAUACGUAUACGUACGUGCAAUCUUGCAUGCAGCCAGCAGGCCGGAGCCCUCCUCACAUGCUGCAUGGCAACACGAUCAUCAAUCCUUGAAGCCGGUUACAAGCAACAGCGACGCCACCAAGCGGAGUAUCGGUCUCCUAUGCGCCUGCACGGCCAACGACCAGAUCUGGCCAACUACGCGAGCCGGCCGGUGUCUACGACGAGCAUCUGCACCAGCGGCAACCACGACAUCUACGAGCACACGAACGACUGCACCGACACAACGCCGAGCUGUACGACUACAUCAGCCCAGCUACAGUUACCUCUUCGUCGAGUACAUCUACGAGAAGCACAUGCAUGCACCAUCCACACGACAGGCCGGUGUGGAACGACAUGCAAUCAUCAACUUCUCAGGCACGACAUGGCGUCGACACAUCGUCGCCACAAGGGACGCCUUCAAGCGACGCACCAUCAUCGACAAGCCUGCAAUAGCCACGCCGACACUCCAUCGCCAAAGGUCUUCAUCAAUGUGGUCUCCAUCAACAAUCUUCGUCAACUAGCCGCCGCCACGUCCACACGGAUGGACAUCUCCCGCGUCCUCUGACAGUUCAACUGCAAGACGCAUCAGCAAUGACGGCAUACCCGCGUUAGCUUCAUCGGCGAUGGCAUCCCCGCGUCAGCGACACCGACGCUGGCUUGACCGCGUCCGACGUAGAGCAACUGCAUCGACACCGGCAUCACUACCUACACGGUGCACACGGUUCUGGCAAAACCGUUGUGUGCGGUGGGCUACCUCCAAUUUUGGCAAAAUUGGUGGUCUCACCUACGACCGCGUCCUCUGACAUCCGCAAGACGCCCUCGAAGGUACCUCUCAAGGUGCAAAACGUCGGCCCCGACGGUACCAUGUGACUUCCACAAGGUGCAAAACAUCCCUGAUUGCAGCUCCGUCAUACACAUCGCGCUUUUUUUUUGCGCCUUCGGUUAUUUGCGGGUCCAUCCACUUCGACGACGACUACUACCUCGACCACGGCUACAUCAUGAUCGGCUACCUCGACAUCGACAUCAAGGGCUACGACGUCUACAGCGACUCAUCGGCAACAACUCCAGUCAAAGCAUCCGCGUCGUCACUAGCGUCCACGACACUCCCGCUAUGACUGCGGGAGGGAAUAGAGGAGAGACAAGGGACGGCACCAGAAGGGGACGGUAGGCACCGCUCCAGGUGACGGACCAGUCCAUUAGAGACGCAGUUGAUGAUGGCGAAACGGAGAAGACGACGGAAGCACAAGACUUUAAAUCCAAUCACAAUCGUCCGCUUUGCUCCCGCUACGACUGAGGGGGAAUGUUAGAGAUAUAAUACGGUUGGGAUUAGAGAUAAGAUAGAAUUAGUUUAAGCGAGAUUACUUCCCUUGUACUCCAAGCCUAUCUCCCCCUUUGUACCUCUAUAUAUACCCCCCCCCCCCAUAUGAGCAUAUGAGGGUCAGAUCAAUAACAACAUCAAUAUUGUGGAAUACCAAUUAGGCUUCCAAUCUCGUAUUUCUACAUGCCAUCAUCAACUGCGUCUCUAAUGGACUGGUCCGUCACAUAGGGUGGUGCCUACUGUCCCCUUCUGGUGCCGUCCCCUGUCUCUCCUCUUUUCACUUGAUGUGUACCUCUUCGAUCGGGGCCACAACGUUGGCCUCCCAACGAUGCGUGCCAUUGCGGUGGGUGUUGCGAGGGGCCUCCGAUACCUCCACAAGGAGUGCCAACAGAAGAUUGUGCACUACGACAUCAAGCCCGGAAACGUGCUCCUCGACGGCAGUCUCACCCCGAAGGUGGCCGAUUUCGGACUCGCACAAGUGUUGAAUCGGGCUGACACGCACAAGACUAUAUCUGGGAUGCGCGGCACCCCAGGGUACGCCGCACACGCACAAGACUAUAUCUGGGAUGCGCGGCACCCCAAGGUACGCCGCACCGGAGAUGUGGAUGCAGGCUGGCACCACGGAGAAGUGUGACGUGUAUAGCUUUAGCAUCCUUCUGUUCGAGAUCCUCGCCAGAAGGAGGAACUUCAACGAGGCUGCGCCUGAGAGCCAGCAGUGGUUCCCCAAGCUGGCUUGGACCAAGUACGAGAGCGGUGAGCUUAUGGAGAUCGUGGAGAGUUGUGGGAGCAUCAACGAGAAAGAUAAAGAGACGGCGGAGAGGAUGUGCAAAGUGGCGUUCUGGUGUGUGCAACAACAGCCAGAGGUGAGGCCGCCAAUGGGUGUGGUGGUGAAGAUGCUCGAGGGCGAGAUGGACAUAGCUCAACCGACCAAUCCAUUCCACCAUCUCAUGGCGGUGCCAGUGGCUGCAAACUUCUGGACUAGCAGCGAGAAUAGCCUAAACUUGGCGAAUUCUAUGCUGGCAGCUAGGGUUUCUCAUGGUAGCAACGACGAGAUCAUCUCGGAGCGGUCUACCAAUACUCACCAGUACUAGUGGAGUGCCCGUGCGUUGAGUACGGACUGACAAAUUCAUGUGCGAUGCUUAACUGCUUAAGAAUAAGCAAAAAAUAUAAUAAUAUGUACAAAAAUAUAAUAAGCAAUUAAGCAUAAAAACAAAUUAAAUGAAGUCAUCAUGGGUGACGAAGUUCCUAUUAGACGGCGGAUCGAGCGUAGCUCGGGCUGAUGAUGAAGUUCCAGCGAGACAGUGGGUCAGGUUGAGCUAAGAUGUCGUAGAAUUUCUAACUAAAAUUUGCCGCGACGGUAAUGACGUUAAGAUACCCAAACAUAUUUGCCAUUAGCCUACCAUCUUUCAUCACCUGUAUAGUCAACAAUCCAAGCAAUAUGGCAACAAAAUUAGAAGAUUAUUUCCUAAUGUAAUAAUUAUGAGCAAUAAUAAACUUUCAGUUAAUGUGACCAAGCUUGCUUCCGGUCUGAGUCAGAGGGGCUAACACACUCCUGACAACACCUAACUUCGGAACCUCUUCCCUUUCUUACCCGUGUUUGAGGAUUGAGCAGAACACACAGUUUUCCAAGUUUUCCAAUAACUAACAGCCCUCACAAAUGUUCCAAUAACUAACAGCCUCAUUUUCUUACCCUAAAAAAAACAGCCUCACUUUCCUAAGAGCAAAAUACACAAGUAUCUACUAAUUCUGGACUGGAUCAGAUUGAGAAAACAAAUACUGCACUGGAUAAGCUAGCAAAAUACACAAGUAUCUACUAAAUCGUGUAGUAUAUAUGAGUGUAAUUUCAAGUUCCAAGAGUGCAGUACAUUGUAUACAAUUAUCCAGAAUAAAGAGCAGAGAUUCAAUCAGAUGACCCAUAAUUUCAUGAUUUAACUCUACUAAUUUUCUGCUGUACAACUUCAGUUGCCUAUAGACUCGCUUCAAUCAGAAAGAAGAGCAGAUGAAUAAAUUACAGAAGGAAUGCUCUGAAAGUGAAAAGGCACACAACAAUGAGGUACCACUGAUUGGAUGAGGCACCGGUGCUGGAGCUACCAGUGAUUAAGAGCGCUACUGCCCACGGUGCUGCUCCUGGCACCUUCUGAUCACUGGUCACCUCGGGCACGAAAGAGAGCGAGCCUGCGACACCCAACACCUGCCGGCCGCCGUACCCGCGCGGGGGAGGGAUUUUAAAGUACCUAGAGCACGACGAAACGCGGUCCUGACAUGAGAACAUAGUAAAAAGAAAAAUACCCUUAGCAAGAUGAACCAGAGAUUACAAAUUUACACUUGCUGGAAAAAUUCCGGAGAUCAUGACAUGAGAACAUAGUAAAUAUUGCUUUUGUGGUGCGUUCUCGGAGUACCUUUCUGAGGGUAUGAGAGUAGAACAUGAGUCUCUUAAUGUCAGCUACCUGCACAGCGAGAUUAUGAGAACAGAAAAUAAUUGGAUGUCUUCAAGUUAACUGUCAAGCAUUGGUUCCCAGAGAAAAGCACUGAGACGCUACAUAAAUAUAGAGUUGAUUCCACUCAGGGAAUGCCAAUCCAAAUUGGCAUAGAAAAUGAAAUUGGCAUAUAGUUCAUAGCAACUCGCACAACGAUAUAGAAAUUUACAGGUAAAGCAAACUACAGGAAACUGCCACUCUUCUACCAAGCCAUGAAAUUUACUACAUUACAGAACUGGCAGACAUUCUUGAUAGAGAAGUUAUCACCUCAACCAGUGGCUUCUUUCCAUGAAGUAGCAUAUCCACACUCCUCUCAGUCUGCACAAGAGAGACACACCAUAUAUUAGCAUUCAUCGCAGGUUGAGAAAAGAAAAGUACAUUUCAUUUUUCUUGUAAACAAAGGUGAGCAGAUUACAUUCAGGUAAUAUAUCCUGAGUUCUGACAAUAUUCUUGGUAAAAUAGCAGAGCAACAAUAGGAGAAGCAAAUAAUUUUCAGAUAAUUCCUCAAGGAUGAUAUAUAACAAAAGGCGAGCUUAGAAAAGAUAAGCAUUAUCGCAAACGGCAUUACCGCACUAUAUUAGCAAAUUUGGUCCAGCAAAAGAUUCCCCUUUAAAAACUAACACCUCCUCAUCUGUUUGACUUGAAGGUAUUGCAAGUGAUUACUAUAAGACAGACUACAAGGAUCAGUACAGAUUAGAACAUUUGAAGCAAAACCAUGAGUUGAGAUAGAUAUCAGCAGUAUGAAAAUUUGAUGCCCGUGUAGAUCCCUAUUAAUUUGUACCCUUUCCACAGAAUCCCAGUAACACAUUCAUCGUAAUCUUAAAAUGACAAGAUAUAUCACUGUGCAAACCUGAUACUUCUACACGGUUUCGGCCUAAAAUUUUAGACCUGAACGCCCUUGACCAUGUUAACACAAAGCUGAAAAGAUACAUACUUGAUACUUGUCCACAUUGACCAUUUGACAUAUAUAUUCAUACCCGUUGAGUCACCCAAUAGUGUCGCUCCCUCACCUCAAUAAGGAAAGGGAACGUUGGAUAGGUAGUGCACUCCACCACCUAUCUAGAGAUUUCAGAUCUUGUGAAUCAACACCCAUUUGAAGAUAGUACCUAAUUCAUGCAUCAAUUAUGCAUUACAUUAGAAGCUGGUGAAAUAUCUUUAUCAGAUCUUGGCCUCAUUUGAAGAAAAUAUAAAAUAAAGAGUUCUAAAAAUAAUCAGUGGAUUACAGAUGGAAAUAGAAGAAAAACUAAGGUGACAGUACCUGAAUCCUGCAAGCAACAUCUCCCUACAAAUUUAAACUGAAUUGGAAAGACAGAGUAAGAUUCAGUUGCAAAACAUUAGACCAUGCUCUUCUAGUGGUUACCUGCAAGUGCAAAGAAUAACUUGAUUAGUGUAUUAGGCCCACAUAAAUUGGACUCAACUAAAAUCGUUUUCCUAGAACUUGAAGAACAUUGAAAAAGAGAUCUAGAACGCUGAAACAGAAAUCUUGACACACAUAAACUAUAUUUUAUUAUUUGUACUUAUAUAUAGUUCUAGGCAAAAAUCCUCUAAUUUAGGCUAAAGCAUUACAUACAAGCAAGUAUCGGUAGCUUAAUGAAGGAUAAGUAUGCGGCAAUGAUUGCAUCAUAUGUUGUUACUACCAUCAUUCCCGAACAAUGCAGAACUAACUAAAAAUAAUUGGACUGUCAAAGCUUAUAACAUUUUUGAACGAUAAUAAAAGAUUAAACAUCAGUGAACACAUCAUAUGCAAGGCCAAAGCUUAAUGAAAGAUAACACUGCAACUGUUCGUAAAAUGGACACUGAGAUAAUCUUUUGCUUGAAGAAUCAGACAUCAUGGACGUACUGUUCAGAAAAUUUAUUUCAGAUUCAAAAUGUAUCAUCUAAAAGACUUACAUUAUGUGAUCCACAAGUUUCACGGACUGUUGGGACGCAAGGUAUCAACAAGAAAUUUAGAAUAGUUACUGAAUGUCUGAAUAUAAACAAACUCUAACAAAAAGACAGGCACACAUACCCCAAUUAUCUGUUCUCCACAGAGGUUGUGCUUGUCAGUGCCCCAAACGGGCUCGGUGAGAGUUUUGGGAGGGGACCUGAACCCGUAUGUGGUGUUGGGAAUGGCGACGCAAGCGGAGGUGAGCAGCGCGGAGGACGACCAGCCGGAUUCUGAAUCUUCUGGCGGCGGUCGAGACAAACCGAAGUGGAGAUCGCGAUUCGCUGCAUCAGCCAGCAAAGAGGAGAGUGAUCGAGGGGAUGUGUCGGAUGAGGAGGCGUGCUGGGGAAGGAUAUGCAGGUGGCGGUGGCCGGGGGCAAGGCGGUUGCGGGCGGAGGUGAUGGGGAACGGCGAUGAGGUACCGAUUUGGGGUCAAUCCGGGAUAGGCCGGGGAGGAGCUCCGGUGGGGUGGAGGGGUCGUGCAGAACUAUACAUCGUAGGAGGGCUGACGGCAAGAUGGGCGGGUGAGCAGUUGCGGGGGCUUGUUUCUGAUCGGGUGGGUAGGGCAGCGGAGUAGCUACGGAAGCGGCGGCGUGCGACGGCGGCAGAACUCUGAGGCGUGCUGAGUGGGGAGGAGGAGAACUGGGAAGCGGCGGCGGCAGCGGAUGCGGAGGCGCGGGUUCGGAAGAGGAGAACGGGGAUGUGUAUAGGCGGCAGAGAGGAGGUGUGGCCGCAAAGUAUCGGGAAGGCCGGACGGCGACUUCGUGCUGGAAAGGAUGUUAGAGGGCGGCGGCGGCAGCGGCGGAGGCGAGGAAGGGCGGCGGCGGAGGCGGGGAAAAUCCUAUCAGGAGAGAGAUGCGAGCGAAGGGCAGGUAGCGACGGGGAUCCGGGUUUUUUCUCCUUUUCGAUUUUCUCGCGCGUGGUUCGGGGUAGGACGGACCAAAGUAAAAUGAAGAUAAAGAUACCUAUACAAAAAUAAAGAUAAAGAUACCUAAGCAAACCCGGACCGGGCUUCAUAAAGCCCGACGGGAAAACCUCAAACCCGAGCCCGGCCCGGCCCGAAGCCCGACAAAAGGACCAUUUUAGCAUUAAAGUAAUUGUUUUGGAAAUAAAUAAAUAAUUUUUUAUACAUAUUUUUUCUAAAAAAUACCCGUUUUUAUUCAUUUCGGGCUUUCGGGCCGGGCUUGGGAACUAGAAAGUGAAGCCCGAGCCCGGCCCGGGACGUUGGGCUUCGGGCCGGGCCACGCCACGUAUGCCCAAGUAUACUCACUGGUAAGGGCAAGUGCAUUAAUAGAAAGGCAUGUUUCACAUCUUGAUGUUGCAUUAAAAAUACUGGUUGUCAUAGCUAUCUACGCUAUAUUUUCCAUCUAAUUGAAUAAAAUGUCACAUAUCACCACUCAUUCCUUUUCUCAAUACACGGUGCAUUAGAUUUCAAAGAGAAGGUUUUGGCAAAUGAUUACUUCAUUAACAUGUGAAAGCAAACCAUAGGAUUUUGUUGUUCCGAAAUAUUUCCAUGCUAAUUCAGAAGAAUCGUGUAGGAAAUUGAAAACAGAGAGAGUUUAUUUUACUGUGUUGAAUAGAGAGAGUUUUUUUUUAGCGAGAAUAGAGAGAGUUAAUUCCAUGGGAAGCACAAACGUUUGUUCGGCCACAUUCUUCCUGGGCUUUGGCCCAUCUAACAAGCCAGGCCUGCAGCGUAGCGGCCUUUCCUCGUUCGCCUCUGCCAUAUUUCACGAGCACACACGCAGCGCCGCUCGCCGGUGCAAAUGGACGCUUGUUUGGCUAAAAAAAAAAAUGGACGCUCGAAAUUCCUCUCCCUCGACCCUUUAUAGCAUCAUCAGAAGAUGGCAAGACGCUAGUUCAGCAGAAAAUGGGCCUAGCUAGGAUGAUCGAGGCUUGUUUGUUAGCAUCACCAGAAGAUGGCGAGUCCCAUGGGUUGGGCACAUUUCCAGACAUCUGUUCAAGCCGAUUUGGGAGUGAAUGAACGAAUGAAAUAAAGCAAAUCUUACUAGGUUCAGGCUGCAUCUAUACUCAGACAUGUUGAUAGCUGAUGAAUAUAUAGGAGCACUCGUUCAACAAGGUGAAGAUAAAGAUAAGAUAGGUGUACGGAAACAUUGCUCAGAAAGAAACACAUCUUAUAUAGUAGGAGCGUUAAUUCACCUAGGCGAAGAUAUAAAAGAAAAAUAAUAUUUCCUCCGACCGGUAUUAUUUGUCUCAAAUUUGCUCAAAUACGGAUGUAUUUAUGUGUAAAACGCAUCUAGAUACAUGUAAUAUUUCGACAAGUAAUUCCGGCAGCAGGGGUACUGAAAUCUUGCACUCGCAUGUCAUAGUGUUGACGAGUAGAUACGGUGGAUUUCCUCAUGUUACCAUACAUCAAGAUGAUACGCAAAAUCCCAUGAAAUCCCAUGAUCAUGAGAUCUCUGUCUCUCUAACCCAAAAGGUCUACGGAACAAAACUCUUCUUUUAUGAUGCGCAAAAUCCACAGUGUCACAUCAACAAACACGACGAAAGAGAAAAACACAGCGAACUUCAACUGACAACACCCGGAGAUAUUGAGAAAGUCCUUCAAUGCAACGCCUUCAAAAAUAGAUCCAACCAUUGGAUCAGGUCAGGGAUUUUUACCUCAUUCAGCAGGUUCGACUAACUUCAAAAAUUGCCUUCAAGGAAGUAAAACACGCGUUCACGGCCGUUGUCAUUUCCAACCAAUUAUUAAGAUCAGACCUGGGAAUUUCUUUUACAAGCGAUACUUGACGACCAGUCAUCGCCAUUCCUCUCAGUCUUGACAAACAGCGGUAGGACACGAACUCAAUCAAAGGUCCCGGCACAGCCCAGAGAGGACAUCCCAAUGGACAAAUCGACACUGCAAGUUAUGCAUGAUAUAUAUCGACCCAACCGUCAGUGCCAACAUGAGAUUUUGAUUUUGUCUUCUAUAUUAUUGCACAUCUCCUUAAGUACAAUCAGAUGCAAAGUGUUGAAGCUAAACGAUCUCAUUGCUACCAUGAUGAACACCAUUUACCGAUGCUGACACCGUGUUUACACUGCUCGUCACGGUAGUCCACAGGUUUGCUGCCACCGGCGCCGCCAUGAGAUGCAGGAACGGGUUCGCCGGUUCAGUUAUGUCCAUCUCGCCCUCGAGCAUCUUCACCACCGUGCUCAUGGGCGGCCUUGCCUCCGGCUGCUGCUGCACGCACCAGAACGCCACCAUGCACAUCCUCUCCACCGUCUGCUUGUCCUGCUGAUCGCCCAUGAUCUCCAUAAGUUCCCCGCUCUCGUACUUAAUCCACACCAUCUUGGGGAACCACUGUUGGCUCUCGGGCGCUGCUUCGUCGAAGUUCCUCCUCCGGCCGAUGAUCUCAAACAAGAGGAUGCCGAAGCUGUACACGUCGCACUUUUCGGUGGCGCCGGCUUGCAUCCACAUCUCUGGUGCGGCAUAACCGGGGGUGCCACGCAUCCCAGAGACGGUCUUGUGCGUGUCAGCCCGGUUCAGUAGCUGUGCAAGCCCAAAGUCGGCCACCUUGGGCGUGAGGCUGCCGUCGAGGAGCACGUUGCCAGGCUUAAUGUCGUAGUGCACGAUCUUCUGCUGGCACUCCUCGUGGAGGUACCGGAGGCCCCUAGCCACGCCAACAGCGAUAGCGCGCAGCGUCGGGAAGCCGAUACCACGGUUCCGAUCAUCGAAGAGGUAGGCGUCGAGCGCGCCGUGCUCCAUGUACUCGUACACCAGUGCGCGCACGCCAUGGGUGGCAGAGUCGAAACAGAAGCCAAAGAGCCUGACAAGGUUGAUGUGGUGGGUCCUCCCGAUGGUGCCGACCUCCGCCAUGAACUGGUCCUGGGAGGUCCGGUCAUCGUGGGUGGUGUGGAGCCGCUUCACGGCGACCAUGAGACCGUUGGGUAGCAUGCCCUUGUACACGGUGCCGAACCCGCCGGCGCCGAGCCGGGCCGAGUAGUUGUUGGUGAAACCAGAGAGUUGCUCCGGGGUGAAUCGAAUGGGCUUCUCGCCCGCGAUCUCCUUGAGAAACCUCUCGACGGUAGCCUCCCGUAUCUGAGAGUCCGGCACCACCGCGUACAUAGCCGAUGCCGUCGACGAUGAUGAUGCCGCGGCAGCGGUCGUGUUGAUGUUGAUGGCGGGGAGGCCGUUCUUCUUGACGCACCUGUACACGAAGUAGACUAUGGCGACGGUCCCCAGGAUGCUCAACACCCCAAAAACUGCAUGUCGAAAUUCAGGUAAACAUGCGCAAAACAAAACAAAAAUUGCUCUUGAAAUACGAUUUAAUGGCUGGGACUUGUGCGCUCACCGACGGAGAUGACGAGGAAGUUGUUGAAGGUGCUGGAGGCUUGUUUGCCGAGAUCGUCGUUGGGAGACGAGGUUGGGAAAUUGUUGGAGUCCCCAGGCUGGAAAUUAGACGACAUUGUUGACGAAAUUAAUUGGUUUGGGAAAUGAAACGGCCGGCUGGAUAUCGAUCGUUUAAUUAACUAGCCUGCAGAACGCCAAUCUCUACUCGAUCGUUGUAUAUGUAGCAGGAUCCAUCCACCCACAAGAAAAAUUAAUGUGGAGAAGCACGCAGUCCACGUACUCCGGUCAGUCAACACUUCAAUAUUAUCCGGCACGGCAGAUUAAUUGACCGGCUGUGUGGACUUAAUCCUAGGCGAGGGACAGUUGACUUGCUGUCAGCUAGUCCAUGCCAAUUACUGAUACGUACAGUACUUCCUAAAGACGCUGCUGACCGCUGACCAUCCUGAUCGAUCCGGCUCGGCUCUCCGUCCAGUCGAAUACUCCCGCCAUCUCAUAUUAAAUGAUUUUCUAUUACAUGUAUUUAGACAUAUUUUAGUAUAUAUAGAUACGUCCAUAUUUAAACAAACUUGAGUCACUUAAUAUGGGACGGAGGAAGUAAUUAUUAGUAAGUACGGGGACGUGUAAAAUGGACUGAUGUCAGUCUUUUCUUAACGAUGCCAUGUUGGAUAAAAUCUGAUGUGGAAGAGAAAUGAACGAAGGAAAUACAUAUGCAUUCUCUUAAUUAAGAGAUGAUCUCUUCACAAGAAGGAUAAGGCAAAGAUAAAACAAAAAUUUCAUCUUUUCUUAACCUUUAUUUUGUUAAUUUUAUUCAUCUAAUCAUUAAUCGUAAGAUAUGCACUAAGAGAUAACAUAUCGUACAACAUAUUUUGUUGUCUUCUUAUAAGGUAGUUUUAUCAAGCACUGUGCAUGCCCGGCCUUAGUCGUUUACCCAAACCCAACCAAUUAACUUUGAGAAACCCAUUCAGAGAUAAGAGUAAAUUUCAGAAAAUAACAGCUUUUUUUGGGCAUACAUAGUUUUUAGGGCCAUUUGUGUCAAGUAGUUUUUCCGGGUAUGCCGGGAAUAAUUAUUCAGCGCAGUCGCGUCGUUAAAGCACACUUAACGAAAAAAUUCUCCACAAAACCAUAGGAGCAGACAUUUUUCAGUGUGUGCGCGCGCGGGGGAGCUAGCUAGCUAGCAGUCAUCUCUGCAUUCAACAAGGCGAAGAUUAGCUAGCUUGACAGCUUCCAGGAAAGAACGGGGAUGGUCAAGGAGACGUAGCAAGACCCUCACACUCACAUGUCAUAGUUGACGAGGAGAUACGGUACUGGGUAGAGGCCCGGCCGGCAAGCAUAAAAUAGCUACAUCAACCGGGUCUUCUCCGCGAUUUCCAUUUGUUGGUCGCACCACUGCGUGCCAGGUAAUAUGAGGACAGGGAUGCUUUUGGAGCUCAGGCUCAUUGGAGUGCGAUAUUUUUAAAAAAUAAAUAAAUAAAUCAUAUUUCUAAGUUUUAAAGGAUCCUGAUUUUCUGUAAACAUAGAUGUAUACUAUGUACCUGUAAAUAUUCAUCAAGAAAUACGUUAAUUUGUGAUCUGCCAAAAAAAAUCACAAAUCUGUAAAUUCUACACAUUACAAUUCUAGAUCUACAUAUUUGCGACUUUUGCAUAGAGCGCGAAGUAUACAUCUAUAUAUAUUUACAUUGGAAAACAAUCAUUUUUUGUUAAACUACAAUAUUAUUUUUAUUAAGUUUUAAUAAAGGGCUCGGCGUAAACCGGGAGCUAAAACACCAUGUUUGACAAGGAUAGACUUUUUGAGAGUCUUGUGUUCCGGACCCUAGGACAAUGUUCCUACAUACUGGGAGUAUCACGCAAAAAUCACCCAUAUGAUCGAAGCCGGGGGAAAUACUGAAAGUUUCAGAUUUUUGUUAAAUAAAAAUAAUAGUUUGGUUGGAGGGGUGAAAUACUGAAAUCCUAUAAACAUGCUGUGUCUCCCCUUUUUGAAAAAAAAAACACUCACAUUCAUUUGAGAGGUUCGUAAAAAUACCAAAUUCAGCAAUGAAUAGCCUUCCAAGAAGGCUACGACCUCUGCUCCAAAUUAUAAGAAGUUUGGGAGGCUAAGCGUGCCGUCACUGGAUGUACACCACCCAAAGAAAAGAAAAUGUAGCAGUCCACGCUAGCAAUCAAAACGGCAAAAUUAGUUAAGAUCCUUGAAGAGAAAUGUCAGGCGAACAAGGCGACCUAGUCGACACUCAAAAUUUUCUUUUUGAUCUGGGAAAGCAACCUCCAUUACUUCAGUAGGAAGUUACUACCAACUUCAUUAUUUUACAGGAGAUUCCAUCACAUGGAUACCUGCAGUCACUGAACAUGAUAGGACAGCACCGGAUCCGGCAGAUAAGAUCUUGGAAAGAUGGUGCGCCUCCAAGGGACAGGGAGAUUGUGCAGAAGCGCCACGAUCAUUCGAUCCGGGAAAACCGGGGUCCGUCCGAUGUUUUCCUCCCGACUCCAGGCUUCAGUUUGCGGCCGAGCUUGCAUCGUUUCCCACUUCUGUCUACUCGAUCCGAACGAGUGAACGACGGUAGCAGCGACAUCUUCCUCUUCAGCUCUGCUUCAUCUUCUUGAACACAUGUCAAUUGCUUGAUUGGAUAUGUGUUGGCAGAUUUUGAUCCCAAAUGGUCGUACAUUUGUUUGUGCCGAGAGCUGUUUGUAUUGCAUUCACUGUUUGUAUUGUAAAUGGCCAAUCAAGCAAACUUGGUAUAUGGAUUUCUAUUUAUGAUCACGUGAUUGUUGAUGAUGAAAUGUGCAAAAAAGUCAAACAAUCAUGUUGAAAUGAGUAGGUAAGCUCGCCAUGUAGGUAACCACAAUCUUGGGCAAUGCAAAUCUAUCAACCAAACACGAAAUGGGUUCGUCCUGCCCAUUUUGACUCAGCCAACCAAAUACGAAUUCGACUCACACCCAUCUCAACCAAACACUCACCUUGAAUGGCUCCACCCCUAAAUCCGGUUGGCCGCAACCCAUCCAAUUUCAUCCAUCAACCAAACACACCCUAAACCGGAUGGGAAUUCGAAUCAGUUUCCUAAAAACUUUUAAAUUUUAAGAAAGACUUUCAGUUUGUUGAAAAAGAGCGAACUUCUAAAAUUGUGGAUGAGCGUUCAACAAAUGUUGACAAACUUUUGGACUUUCAGAAACGAACAUUCUAUUAUUUUGACAAACUUUCAAAAUUUCUGGAUGAACCUUCCAAUUGUUUUUGACAAACUUUUAAAAAUUCAGAUAAACUUUUAUUUUUUAAAAAUUGACUUCCUUUUUUCUACCGACUUCCAAAUUUUAGAGAUAAUUGUUUCUAGCUAAGUUUUUUGCAUCCUGAUGUGCUGGCCUUGGCUUGCUUAGCGUAAAGGCUGAUUAGCGUGAAGCACGUUUCGUCCGCACGGCGCAAAGCUUCGAGCAAAAAGUUCUUCCGUUCAUUUAAAAAAUAAAUCAAAACACUAAACCCUUACACUCGUAUCUCAAAAGUUGACGAGGAGAUACGGUCUUGUCCUUUGACGAGGAGUACACCAUGGUUGGAUCAACCAAUAGAAGGACAUUGAGAAUGGUCGUUCAAUGCAAUGCCUUAAAAAAAUGGGAUGAUGGGCCUGCGUCACAGUUGGUAGAUCCAACUAUUGGGCUAACCUAUAAAAAAACUAUUGGGCCAGGCUAGGGAUUUUACAAAAAAAAAUCUUUUUCGAAAGGGCAGACAUCCAUUUCCAUUGCAGAGUUGUUAUAAGUUAGAGAUCGUGUAAACAAAUAUAAGCCGGCCGAAAAGAUCAAAUAAAGCGAGUCUAGACAACUAAGCGUCUAGUACACCGGCAGCUGAACAGGAUCGAAAAUCUCCAAAUAAUACCUGAACAAGGAAGUAACAGACUAAUACGCAUUAACGACCAUUGUUAUGUCCAAGCAAUUCAGACCACAUCUGGGCUUUCACACAGGUACAUGAACGACACAACCAAACUGAUGUCCUCCCUGUGCUUUCACGCCAGCUUGAUCAGUGUCUUGUCUUAAUCACCAACAUAUGCAAAGUGUUCAAGCUAAGCGAUCCCGUCGCUACCACGAUAAACACCAUUUACCGAUGCUGAAACAGUGUUUAUGCUACUCGUCCCGGAGGUCCACAGGUUUGCUGCCAUCGGCGCCGUCAUGAGAUGCAGGAACGGGUUCGCUGGCUCGGCAACGUCAAUCUCUCCCUCGAGCAUCUUCACCACCGCGCCCAUCGGCAGCCUCGCCUCUGGCUGCGAGCUCUUUUACCGUACACCGAAUUUAAUACAGACCGUUUAUUUGUCCCGAUCCAAUGAUCGGUAUAAUUUGGCACUCCACGGUUGAUUCUAUGAAGUACCGGGUCAAAAAUUACUGGAGUUCCUUGAUUUGGAGGGUAAAAUAGUAAUUUGGGGAGGAUAUUUUAAUCUGUCUCGUCCUAACCUGAAUCGUUACUUUCACUUUCCAAUAAAAAAGACAAAUGAUUCAGCUUUGACCUAACCCCGCCGCCGCUUGACUGGCCUGCCACACCGGCGUAGCGGACGAAGGUGCGGAUGAAGCAUAAGCGGCACUGCCGAGCUCCUUCAUGCAUGCAACGGAUAAUGCGGUGCCGCCACCCACCCUUGCAAAUGAUCCUAGGCUAAUUAAGUUGGUUUGCUCUCUCGAGGGUUGAUUCGGUGUAGUGGAUAGUAGUUUUGAUCUCUUUUUUUAUAGAACUCGAUCGAACCAUGAGCAAAUUCGAUUCAACUGCCCAGAUGUGGAUGCAUUAUUUGGGAUGUGCAGAGAGAACCGCUAGGAACCCAAUUUGUGCCAUGAUUGAUUCAGCUAAUUAAACACUACACGAUUAAUCAAAUAAGCCAAUCAAGGUGCCUAGCUAGCUUUGAACAGAUCAGGUUGUUGAUGGCAUGUUGAAGGAGGCGCCCGAGAUGCCAGACUCCAGACGCCUAGGAUGAGACGGGUGACAUGCAUUACGACGGAGGAUCGCCGUCCGUCCAUGGUGACGAAGGACGAGGAAGUAGUGUGCUACCAGGAUACCGGAGUAGAUUAAGAUAAAACAUAAUAUUACUCAUAAAUUAGCAAAAGAAAUCGACCAAUUUACCCUUCAAUUGGACGGUCAGAUUUACUUGGUACUCCAGCCUCUAGUCAAGGAGUACCAGGGUACCGUAAAAUUCCUCCCGGCUGCUGCUGCACGCACCAAAAUGCCGCCUUGCACAUCCUCUCUGCUGUCUCCUUGUCCUGCUCGCCCAAGAUCUCCAUAAGCUCGCCGUUCUCGUACUUGAUCCAUGCCAUCUUAGGGAACCACUGCUGGCUCUCUGGCACGGCCUCGUUGAAGUUCCACCUCUGUCCGAUGAUCUCAAACAAGAGGAUGCCGAAGCUGUACACGUCACACUUCUCGGUGGUGCCGGCCUGCAUCCACAUCUCAGGCGUGGCGUACCCGGGGGUGCCACGCAUCCCCGAGACGGCCUAGUGUGUGUCGGCCCGGUUUAGCAGCCGUGCGAGCCCGAAGUUAGCCACCUUGGGUGUGAGACCACCGUCGAGGAGCACGUUACCAGGCUUGAUGUCAUAGUGCACGAUCUUCUGCUGGCACUCCUCGUGGAGGUAUCGAAGGCCCCCUGGCCACGCCAAUGGCGAUGGCGCGCAACUCCGGGAAGCCGAUGCCGCAUCUUCGGUCAUCAAAAAGGUAGGCGUCGAGUGCACCAUGCUCCAUGUACUCGUACACCAGAGUGCGCAUGCCGGUGGCACUGGCAUCGAAGCAGAAGCCGAAGAGCCUAACGAGGUUGAUGUGGUGUGUCCUCCCGAUGGUGCCCACCUCCGCCAUGAAUUGCUCCUGGGAGGUCCGGUGGUCGGAGGUGGCGUGGAGCCGCUUCACGGCGACCAUGAGGCCGUUGGGUAGCAUGCCCUUGUAUACGGUGCCGAACCCGCCGGCGCCGAGCCGGGCCGAGUAGUUGUUGGUGAAGCCGGAGAGCUGCUCCGGGGUGAACCGGAUGGGCUUUUCGCCGGCGAUCUCCUUGAGGAACCUCUCCACAGUGGCGUCCCAUAUCUGCAAGUCCGGCACCACCGCGUACAACGACGAUGCUGGCGUCGCGACAGCGCCUGUGGUAUUGAUGUUGAUGGCUGGGAGGCCGUUCUUCUUGACACACCUGUACACGAAGUAGGCUAUGGCGACGGUCCCCAAGAUGCUCAACACCCCUAGAACCGCAGGAAGAAAUUCAGGUAAACGUAAAUAUAAAAAAUCAUCACUCUUGAACUAUUCUUGAAUAUGAUUUAAUGGUGAUCCGUGUGCAAAAAAACGAUUUAAUGCUGAUCGAUCGAUGGAACAGUCGUCACGCACCGACGGUCAAGGCCAUGAAGGAGUUGAAGGUGCUGGAAGCUUGUUUUUUCUUUUGAGGGGAAGCUUUAGGUCAUAAAACCUAUAGCAUUUUAUUAAUAAAUAAAGAGAAUAUUUACAAAUAAUUACAAGUGACAACUAUCUGAAGUUUUUGAUCCAUGAUUGCAUGGAAUGGUAUUUCUUUCUUUUGGCUCUAUGGAAGACCAGGUUGAGCUCAUAUUUGAAGGUGCGUUUGCAUCUGUAGAGCGAUGGGUUGAUCCCAUUGAAUAUAUAGUCAUUGCGUGUUUUUCAGAUACUCCAGUUGACAGCAGUAAUUAUCUCCAUGUGAAAUGGGACUUGAAGCGCCUGUUUGAUGAUCAUGAUGUUGCCAUGGACAAUUGGCUGGGGCAUUGUCGGAGCACGGUCUCCGGCACCGGGGAUGCCGAGCACCCCCUUUUUGGUUCGGUGGAGGGCGAGGUGAUCGCUCCGGCGAACGCCGGCGUGGCGAUAGACACGAAGUGUAGACACAAGAGUUUUACCCAGGUUCAGGCCAGCCGGAGGUGUAAUACCCUACGUCCUGCUUUGAGUUGUAUUCACAAGUUUGAGAGCGUACAGAUCACCCGGGGAAUUCCCGGGUUGGCUACUUAGGUGAACGCUAUGCUAUGUUCUACUCACUCGGGUUUGAACUGAGCUGAACCCUUUGACCGGUGGCAUUGGUCCUCCUUUUAUAGACAAGGGGAUACCACAGGUGGCUAUGCAUGCAGGGUGACACGUUGCCUAGACGCGUGUCACAGCUAUAUGGAAUACACUUUUGCUCAUCCACGUGAGACGCCAUGUAGCGCCCGGUCCACUGUACACGGUAGAAAAAAUGGUUCUCAGGGUAGCCUAAGACUCCUGUCGGUGCAUUAAAUGCACUGCGCCCGUCGUCUUGUCCUGUUGUGGUGACCCAGACCCGUAAGGAUCCGGACCUCUGUGUACUCUGUGCUAGUCCCUGGAUCAAAUGCUAGCACACACAGUUCCAUUGAUGAAGUACCAUACACAUGUCUAUUACAUCGGUUCGAAUUACAAAUCCAAAGUACUUAAUACAACCAAGCGGAAGUUCAAAAUAAAACAAACUGAUAGGUGCAGGUCAGUACAUUGAAUGUACUUGCAAGUCACACCUGUGUGGUUAGGAGGAAUGCAUGGAAAUGAUGAAGGGUUUCCUAGUUUGGCUACUAAGGUUGUUUUUGCAAAAUGCUGCUUUUGGGGUUUUGAAUUACUCAUAGUACUUUCCUUUGAAAACCUCUAAUCCUGGAGUUUUGAUAAAACAAUGUUUGAUCAAUAGUAUGGUCAUUAUGUGGAAGUUCACUCCACGACCUAGCUAUGCACUCUGGGUCAACUGACACUCACAUAGCAUCCCUUUUUUCCUGACUCAUUCUGUGGAACCUUCCAUCGAGUCAAAACAGUUCUGGGGUUUUUGAAAACAAAACCUGAAGAUCUCCACUUCUCCUGACUUAAUGACUCAAAGUCGCCCGUAACCAGGGGCAUGGCUAAUCGAUUAGAUUGACACUCUCGAGAGGUUUGUACACUUUACCCACUUGACACAAUCAGUCCAAAGUGUUGCCUGACGACAAGCGUGCGCAACAGAUAAAGAUUGUGACGAAGUCUUUCACUAGAAGCCCCCUGAUACCUAAUUCUGGCACCGCCCGCCCCAUAUGAGCACAUUGGCUCCUCUCUGGAUGGCGAUACCCAGGUAAGGGUUUCCCGCUAGUUAGUCGACCAAGCCAGAGCCCAUAAUAGCAAUUGGUUGCACAAGAAGCUUUUGGGUACAUGAGAAGGUUUGAACUCUUGAAUUUCUGGACAGCGGUCCCCACCUUCUCCGGAGCGUGUACCCGUUACGGGGCUACAACACUUGCCGACAGCCAACUGGCCUCCAUCAUACCACUCCAUCCAGAUAAAACAUUUUGGUUUUAUUUCGAAAACAUUUUUCCAAAAACAUACUCGCUCAUAAAGAGCACUUAAUACUUUUCAAUAUAGUUUGGGUCCCGUCCCGUUAUAAUAGUAUAGCAUGCUUUGGAAAAACGUAAAUACAUAACUUAUGGUAUUUGGUGGCAUGGCAAUAAAAUCCUAUAAGCAAUCUACUAGGAAUAACUAAACAUGUUGAAAACGCAUUUGAUAAAUACUUCAUAAAGAAAUAACUCUAACAUGCAUCCCUAUGCCAUUGUAAACAAGAUAGCUUAAGCAAAAUAUAGGUACUACAUGAUCAAUAAGUGUAACUUGCCUGGUUCAGAAAAGUUGUUGCGGUCGUCAACUCCCUGGCACUCGUUGCAAUCGCAAUCCGAAUAAUCUAACGCGAAGAACGAAUCAACAAUAAAUGCAUAGUUCCAAACAUCUCUCAAAAUCCAAAUAUAACUCCAAAUGAACUUCGGAUAAAGGAUGUGUCACAACCAUACAAAAACAGAAUCUAAACAUCAUCUAAGUAAUACCAUAGUAUUAACAAUCAAGUUCUAAAGCCUAAGGUUAACGCUAGUGUGGCUAAGUCUGAAGAUUCAGUAAUCUGCUUCUGUUAACAGAUUGCAACUAGGGUUGACAGGAAAAAGGUGCUAAGGUACAGAACAUGGAAUGAAACAUAAGCUACAGUGUAGUUCUAAUGUUGUACUAACUAACGCAAUAGGUUUCAGUCCAAUUGGAUAAACAGACCAAAAGUUACUGGCUUGCAAAGGUGGCUAGUCAGAUUCUGACAGACAAAGAAUACUAACUUCUACUGAAAAGCUACUGGUGCUAAACUAUUCCAAUGACAGAGAAAUAAUCCAAGGAAUCCAAGAAUAUGAUAUACUCUUCCAAAUGGCACUGGUUUCACUAAUUAUGGAGAUAUGAGGCAGUAGCUAUGAACAGGUGAAUGUGGUUACUCUAAAACAGAACAGUACAGGAUAUGAACUUCUACCGUCAUGCUGCUAGUGAAGGUGAAAUUGAAAUGGUCCAACUAGGAAAUUGCUUUGAAGGGGUGUACCUAAGGUUCAAACUACAGAAAGAAUCAACUAAAAUGAUGCUACGGACAACAAAAAGAACUACUACGAAUAAGGCUACCCACUAAGAAUGGUGCUGCAACUUCCUGCCGUGGCAGAGAUAUGGCAGAGAGGCUGCUUAGAAUACAAUUUUGCGACGAGGAUGCAGUGCUCAAGAUGAACCAUCUACGGCUACUGUCUACAGAGCAAUUAUAGAGAAACAUUCACUCUACACAAUGGUGAAAACUAGAGCACAUAAUGAUCAACGGUCUGCUGACAAUCGACGCUUGAAAAGAGCUAACCGAAAAGCACGGGAGAUGAACAUGUUCAUACCCAAAUCUUCCCGGAGAUGAACGGAAUCGAAGAUCCGAAGAGCGGGAACGAAGAAGAAGGGUUGGAGGAGAUUCACGGUGUCGCGGGGAUCGCGCAGGCGAUGGCGGUUCGGCGAACGGAGCAGCGCAGCUCCGGCAAUUUCUCCCCGGAGUUUGGGCGGCGGCGGCGGCGGUUUCGGCCGGAAAUCGGGGCGCAGGGCGAGCGGGGAGCGGGGGCGGGCGAGGGCAUGCGCGAGAGGGGGCGCGGGGUGCUUUAUAGGGCUCGGGCGCCUGGGCGGCGGGGCUGGUGGUUGCGGCGCGACGUGGGGUCGCGGGCGCGUGCGGCGACGGCGGUUGCGCGGGCGACGCGGGCGGCGGCAGGGCCGGCAGGGCUGAGGGCGGCGGUGGAGUCGGCGGCGCGGGGCAGCGGCGACGGCGGCUGCGCGGGCGAGCAGGCAGGCGGGCGCGGGCAGCGGCGGCGGUUGGAGACGGCGGAGGUGGCCAGAGGAAGAAAAUGACUGGUGGGCCCCACCUGUCAGUGAGAGAGAGAUAGAAAGCGUAUUUCUCCAAGAAUACGUUUUCCUGCGGAGAAAGCGUAAUCCAGAUAAAAAGAAAAAGAAUAAAAGAAAAAGAUUAAUAAAUACUUUUCAGGAUCUAUAAUUCACCCGAAAUUCCAUUUAAAUCAUUUAAAAUAUCAAUUGGCAUCAGAAAAAUUCCAAAAAAUUCUGUAAAAUAAUAUAUUUCAUUUAGAGUCAAGGAAAAUUAUUCCCACUCAAAAAUAAAUUAAUAAAAAUAGUUGUAAUGUUUUUAAGCUUUAAAUAAAACCAAAUAAAAUCCUAGAAUGCGUUUUUAAAUUCUAGAAAAUUCUCAAAUCAAUUUCUAUCAACCUAACACAUUCCAAGACACCAUUUAAAACACUUUCAAUAAUGCAUCAUAACGAACACCAAAAUUUUAAGAUAUGAUCAAGGUGAUAUGCAUAAGAAAUGAAAAGGUGCGAACAUUCGAAAUCGUGGGCCACUGGUACGACAGUAGCCCUCGGGCGUGCGCCGGCAGCCUUGAAGCUUCCAGCAAGCGCUAUCCUCGAUCGGUUGCCGGGCUACGCCCUAUUUGACACGUGGGUCCCAAGGGGGAAACCCAUUGGCACCCGGCCUCGUGGGCCGCAUUUAUAGUUCCACUUCUCCGAGCAAAACGGUCGGGCGCACGAUUUCGUGCCUUAUCCCCCUUAAUCGCCAGAGAGUUAAGGCCACGUCGCGCACCCCCUCUUAAUCUUUGAUUCUUUAGGGCUCUUUAUUGAUGAUCAUGGGGGUGUCCGUUGCAGUCCGCCAGCCCCGAUAAAUACCCAAGGCCAGUGGCGGGGCACUCCCCAUUGUCUCUCGCUCCUGCCAUCACCUCCUCCCAAGCUCCCCGCUCCCCAACUCCAACUGAACCACCUCUCCACCUCCGCCGAUGUCUUCCAAGGGCCAGAACCGUCCCAAGGGGAGCACCAGCAAAGGGGAUAAGGCCGGCAAGAAGGAUCUGUCGGACAGGGCUCGGAAGGAGGAGGAAAUGCGGGCUAAAUUUGCCUUCUCCCCCCCCCCCCCCCAGGGUACAACGGCGAGGGGGUCGACAAGCUGGACUUGGUACUGGCCACCAAGCACAAUGAGCACGGGCCGACGCAGGUCCUUCCCGUCGGAGCGGAGCGUGACGGGCACUAUUUCCGGAUCUUCGGGAGGUUCAUCCUUGCCGGGUUCGUGCCGCCGCACUCCUACUUCCUUUCAGCCAUCAUGGAGACCUACAAGCUCAUCAUGGCACAGCUUCACCCCAUGUCGUUCUUCACAUUGGCUAUUUUCCAACACCUCUGUGAAGCGUUCGUGGGGGUGAUGCUGUCGGUGGCGCUAUUUCGCCACUACUACUACCCGAGGGUGGAGAAGAAGGCUCCCCUGUCCUCGGGGGUAGUGUUCCGAUUCCGCGACAGAAUCAAAUCGGAAUUCAUCGAGCUGCGGAAGAAGAAGAUCGAGCAUGAGUGGCGCUAUGACUGGUGCUGGGUGCGCACCGAUGAGCUCCAGGAAUUCCACGAGGAGCCCCUCGGGCCUCCGAAGGGCUCUGACGACUGGACGCUCCGCGACCAUAAGGACGAGGAGCUGGCCCCAAUCUGUGCGAAGAUCAAGGCGCUCCGUGAGGCCGGGCUCACGGACACGGAUGUGGCGCGCCACUUCAUCGGGAGGCGCGUGCCCCCUCUGCAGCGGCGCUCUCAUCCGGCGUGGAUGUACACCGGGGCCAGCGACCGGACCCGGCUGCAGCGCACGGACCUCCUCGCGGAGGAAGUGCAGUUCUGGGUGAAGGGUAUCACCGGCGAGGACGAACCUUACCGGCUACUCUCGCCUAGAACGCACUCGCUCCACGCCGAGAUCCCGAACCCGGGAGCCCGGGAUCUCCCACUCUGUGACGAGUGGGGGAUUGUGGAGGACCCCUCGGUGCAACCCUCACCCCCGCAGCCUAGGUCCCGGAAGGGCAAGGAGACGACUGCCGACUCGGGGAAAGGGGUCCAAGGCCAGGCCUCCACCAAGGCAGAGGGCUCGGACUCCGACGACUCCUCGCUGGGUGUCGGAGGAGACCUCAGUGACGACGACGUUCCCCCGGCAGCCGGCAAAGUCGUGCCAGAGGUGGAUGACGAGUAAGAUGACGUCCCCCUGGUGAGGCGGUCCGCGGCGGAGCGGGCGGGAGGCCAGCCCACAGCUCCAGGAGCCUCACGGCGACGCGGGGGCUGGGGCCUCCGAUGGCAGUGGCGCGGCAGCAGCAGCCGCCCCGACCACCUUGGCAACUCCAACAGUUCCCCCCGCGCGAAGCGGCCCUCCGGCGAGGAGCAUCCUAGCGGACAGGGUGCUCAAGCUCAAGCCUGCGGGGUAAGUCCAAUGUUGUCCAGAACAGUUUUGAUUUCGUGAAAUUAUUUUGUGCCUGACUAAUCUAUUUUUGCGUUUUCCAGUUCGUCGAGGAAGAGGGGGCAGGCCAGCGUGUCGCCGGCAGCCCCAACCAAGAAGCCUUGCCCGGCAUUGGGCGGCCGCGACCAAGACGCUGCUGACGCUGCGGUUGCGAUGAUGGUAGCGGGGUCCCCGAUUCGAGCUCGCAGGGCACCGGCCCGGCGGUAGGUACGUGCAAGUUCGAACACUUCCUUUAUCUGUUCGCACCAAUCCCCAUGCUUGACGCAGGUGCCGUUCAUGCAGUUGCCGGAGGGGCUCCAGCUGCGCCCGCGCCUACAGAGGUGCGGGUCAUCGACCUUACUGGCAAGGUCGACGACGAUGCUCCGGCGGAGGUUUCCUUCGCCGGAGCCCUUCAGCAAUCGACCACGGCGCCUGCCGGGGCCAUGACUGCUGCAACAGGUGACGCCACGCAGGGGGUGCCAUCUGAGGCGGGCGACACAGAGCAGCCUCUUCUAGCCGGGGUGGGCGGUGGUGCCCUGGAGAAGCCCCCGAGCCCCCAGCUCGCCCCUUCGGACGAGCAAGGAGCGGCGGGGCUCGGCCAUGCCGGGGGCGCGCCAUCAAAUCCUGACGCGCCCUCGGGGUCGCAGACGGUUGCGGCGGGGUCCUCCUCCUCCGCCGGAGCCGCCUUCAGCCUGGGAGCAGGGGAGCUCGCCGGGCGGACUCGGGGUCGGAUCACUUUCGAGCCCAGCGUGUUCCAGCAGGGACACCAAGUGAUCGACAACAUCCAGCAGCAGCAGCGGAUGUUCGUCAAUUAUUUCAACGACGCGCAGCAGCACCACGCCCGCGUAGUGGCCGAACUGGGCGCAGCGCGACGGGAGGCGGAGGAGCAGUGCACCGAGCUGCAGCGGCUCCGGCAGGAACUCCAGCAGGCGUGGCAAGCCGGGGCAACGCCAGCUCUGCAAGGGGUGCCGGAGGCGCAGGUCCUCCAACAGCUGUGGGAUCUCUAGCAAGAGCACAGCGGGAGCUCGAGCUGGUGAAAGCCACACAUGCCAAGAGCGAGGAGGAGCACCAGGCGGCUCUGGACUCGUUCCAAGGGCGUCUCCGGAAGAAGACGGACUUACUGUCCGGCUACUCCCCGGAGAUCCAGCGCCUCCGCCGCGAGGUCGGAGAGCUGGAGACGGUGGCCGCAAUAGCAGCCGAAGCCUCAGCGUGCCGGGAGAAGGAGCUGCGGGACCAGGCCCGCUCCCGGGAGCGUGAGCUUGCGGGGCAGCUCAAGGCCGCCCAAGAUGCCAGCUCGUCCCUUCAGGGCGAGUUCGACAUGGUGCGGCAAGAACUCCGGUUGGUCGACGACGACAACACCAAGAAGGCGUCGGAGAUCGGUAGGCUGAAGUUCUAGUGCCGCGAGCACAAGCUGCAGGCCCAGGAGGCUCGCGGUGCGUGCAUAGAGCUGCGGGCCCGCAGGACAGGGGAGGUGGCCCGGCUGAAGAAGCUGGCCGACUCGGCGGUGGAGGCGUUGCAGGGGUUCGACAUCCCUGUGGCUUCCUUCGAUGGGGCAGACAUGGGGAGGUUCACUUCGUUCUUCUCAGACUUCGUCGGCCGGCUGAGCGGCUUACAGAGCUGUGUCACGACCUUCGGGGACCGGCAAGUCGGCCUUGCGGCCAAGCAGGUCGCCAGGCAGAUUCUCACCCGGGUCCACUCCGCCCACCCCGACUUCCCGUUCGAGUCGGUCUUCGACGCCUGGUCGGACGAGGAAGAGGCCAAGACCCACCGGGAGGCGGUGCAGGGCGUCGUGGACGAGAUGGUGGCGCGAAUGCAGGGUAAGGUCGACGAAGACGAAGCCGCUGCUGAGGAGGUUGCCGGAGAAGCCCCCGAUGCCGAGGAUUCCCCUGACAUCGACGCAACCACCCCGGGAGCACCUCCCGCGUAGUUCUCUUCCUUCUCUUUUUUUUAUUUCCCUGGAAGUGGUGCAUGGCGCCUUAGAACUUUUUAUGUUAGCUUUCCCUUGUCAUUAUCAGUGUUACUCGUCAACUUGUUUUGCCCAAGCUUUGAUAUAUAUCCAAUGCUACUUUUAUUUGCUCCUUUGCCUAAAACUAGCUUGACGGGGAGGGGCUCUGUCCUUCCCGUGUUUUAGCCUUGCGUACUCGGAGACUCGCCAACCACAUGCUUGGCCAGACUAGGGACCCGGGAUGGACCCGCGAUGCCGACCUAGGGCCAAACAGCAGCGGCUAGUCACUCCGCCUGCGGGUUAACUACCCCAGCGCGCACGCCUCUGGGACGGACCCGCGAGCCACGUGUGGGGGGCGUCCUCACCCCGCAAGCGUCCUUCCUACGCUCCGGCUACACGGGGACCGAGCUUACCCCAGCAAACCAGUGUUACUAAAGGGGAAAAACCAAGGAUCCAAGAUACUUAGCUUCCCGUUCUUUUUAGACUUGUUGCGCCUUGUUGAGAGCCGUGGCAAGGACGUGGUGGCAGUGCACCCUCCAGCAGUACCUUCGGAGCUGCGGAGGCAUGCACCACCAGCCUUUACGACGCCUCUCGCUUGUCUCAUCGCCAUUUCUAGUGUCGCUCCAUAAGAGAUGUGGCAGGGCCACGAUGGUGAGAACACCCUCAGCGACAAGCGCAGAGGGAUGCAACACCAUCGCCUCUCUGCGACAUCUCUUGUUUUCUUGCCCGUUUCUGGUGUUGCACUUGCCCUGGUCUCCUUAAAUAGCCAAAGGGUUGUUCUUGCCUCCACACGCCCGGGACCACCAGCCGCCGCGUGGAGGGCACUGGCCCUGUCUCAGUUUCCUGCAUCAAGCCUCGAAGUAAUCGCCAUAUAUGUACAACUUACUCGCAAGACGACGACACCCGUGACCGCCACGAGUGUCACUGUGUGCCUUCGCCUCAUCCCUAUUCUGCAUGUCAGAUUCCUGCAGUGCCCAAGGUAUAUAGCAAAAAAAUUCGAAAUGUACGAAAAACAAUAUAAACUGGAUAACCUCCUGCCUCCCAGCCCCCGGGCACAGAAGAAUCAACCUCAGACCUGGGUGUGAACAUCUCUACGUUUCCACGGUGCCUCUCUGGCACGUAGCACGUUGCAGACGGGCCCGACAACUGCUAGGCCUCGUUCCGGGGCGUCCCGGCAACGAGCUUGGUUUUCAGGGUUCCGACAGCCCCCUGCUCACGGCCAAGGAUGAGGAGACAAUUCGGUGCACCUGGAGCAGGAGACAGAAGCAUUCACAGACAGGAAAGCACAAUAUUUACCAAUGUAACACUUAUCUUUAUUCAACUUUGUGCUAGUGGAUUACAAUCGGGCCUUGCCCGGCUACACUAGCUUAAAGAGGCAUGCUGCCGUAGCGUCACCCGUGGGUAAGGCACCAUCGUUUCACGGGCAAAACUUGCGUAUGUGCUCAAUGUUCCAACUAUUGGACACCGGCAAGCCUUCUUCGGUUUAAGGACGGACAGCCCCCGGUCUGGUCACCUGCACUACCCGGAAAGGGCCUUCCCAGAUUGGAGUCAACUUGUUCCCGACCUUCAUUCCUUGUAUCCGGCGCAGGACGAGGUCUCCAACCUCGAGCCCCAGGGGACGGACUCUCCUGUCGUGAUAACGACGGAGUCCCUACUGGUAGCUUGUAGCUCAUACAGCAGCUCGGCAUCGAAUCUCCUCGAUGAAUGUAAGGUCAUCAAUCCUCUGCGUGUGUUGGCUCUUGUCGCCGUACGCGCGUACCCGAGGUGACCCAUACUUGAGCUCGAGUGGCAGCACAGCUUCUGCCCCGUAGACGAGGGCAAACGAAGUUUGACCCGUCGCCCGACUCGGCGUGGUCCGCAGUGACCACGGCACGGGCUGGAGUUCUUCAACCCAGUGUUUCCCGUGGUCUUUGAACUUGUCAAAGGUUCUCGUCUUGAGCCCCCGCAGCACCUCUGUGUUGGCUCGCUCAACUCGCCCAUUGCUCCUCGGAUAAGCAACAGAGGCAAAGUGAAUCUUAGUGCCCAUUUCCUCGCAGUAAGCUCGGAAAACCACACUAGUGAAUUGCGUGCCCUUGUCGGUGAUGAUGCCGUUAGGCACACCAAACCGGCACACAAUGCCCUUGAAGAACUUGAUGGCUGGCUGCGCCGUGACGGCUCGGACAGGCUCCACCUCGACCCACUUCGAGAACUUGUCGAUGGCCACAAGUAGGUACUCGUAGCCGCCAACUGCUCUCGGUAGUUUGCCGAUGAUGUCCAGCCCCCAGACCGCGAACUGCCAUGAGGACGGGAUGACUUGCAGGGCUUGCACCUGGUUGGUUGCGCUUCUUGGUGUGAAACUGGCAUGCUUCACAGAUCUUGACUAAUUGCUCGGCAUCGGCUAGUGCUGUCGGCCAGUAGAAGCCGUGCCGGAACGCUUUUCCAGCUAGUGUUCUGGAGGCCACAUGGUGUGAGCAUGUGCCUCGAUGUAUAUCUUUCAGCAACGCGUGCCCUUCCUCCUCGGGCACACAGAGGAGCAUGACUCCGUUAAGACGCCUCCGGUAGAGUUCUCCGUCCACCAGGGCGUACAUUUUAGCUUGCCGGGCUACUCGCUCCACGGCAAUGUCUUCCUCCGGGAGAGUCCCGUCCUUGAGGUAGCGAAUAAUAUCCGUCCCCCAGGAUGGUGUUGGGAAUAUGCCCUAGAGGCAAUCAUGUAUGAUGUAAUUCCCAAUGUAUUCAUAAAUAUUAUUAAGUUGUCCUUGUUUGAACAUCUGAUAUGUAUCAUUGAAUAUGUGAUUUGAUUGUGAAACUAUGUAUUCUUGUUGUUCAUACUAAAUUGUCCUUAGUCAUUGAGGUUGUGCUGGACACAUAACCUAGACUAAUGUGAAAGUUGGCUGAUGACUCGGUUCCACUUGUCAUGGGCAUGGUGAUGUCAUUCCAGCUUACAUGGACUCGGCUAAAGAGUUUAGCGAGUCGGACUGACCCAUAUUGAGAUGCAACGAGUAGGUCGUCAUUUGCAUGUCUCAAUCAAUGUAAUCCUUAGACCUGAGGUUAUCGCACAAUCCGAGUUGUGGAUCACCAACUUAGGUUCUGUCAAACGUUGUUCCGUAACAGGGCAGUUAUAAAGGCAGAGUUCGGGUUGACUGAGAAUCAAGCUGUGUGAUGUGGAUAACCAAGAUGGGAUUUUGCCCCUCCGACUGGAGAGAUAUUCUCUGGGCCCUCUCGAGUGAUAUGAUUCGGGAAGCAUGGCCAUGCGCGACUUGGUUAACUGUUAACCGGGUCGAUCGACUAAGAGUUAGUCGGAUGAAUCGUAUAUCACAAAUCGAGAAGAGAGUUGAACUAUUAAAGGGAUGACGAUUAAUCGCCUAUAGUUCGACAAGGUAUAUCGUGAGGCAAAAGGGACUAAGACGUAUGUCACAUUGGAAGGUACGUCGUCAUGACUCGAUGGUACUUGGGAGUCGGCACGUUCUGCUAGGAGCCGCUACCGAUUGAUCGAUUGUGAGUCGGACUCCAAUCGUGUCCAAGUCGCCAUGAGCCUGCGGGGUCACACACUUAAGAGCGGGAGCAAGUAUUUGGUCGGGUUGGACCUGAACUGGAAUUGGGCUGACAAUGCGAGUUGGACUCGCUGGGUGGAUGGGCCACAAGGCUUGGAGCCCACUUCCACUCGGUAUAUAAGCAGGGGCGUGGGAUGCCUAAGGGGCAACGGUUUUUCCACUCUCAUGCGUUGAGAACUCUAGCCCGAUUCAGUUCAACCGUCGCAACGGACCUAGCAGUCCGCCGCCGGAGCUCCUCCUCGCACGUGUGGAUACCGGCAGAGGUGCUGUACGUUCAGCACUUCGACGAUCGCGGGAUUGGAUCGGCUGGAUCGGAUCGAGGGACUGCACUGCAUCAAGGCGCCGCAUCGAUAAUCCGCAACUGCGCGUCUAGUGGUAAUCCUCGUGGCCUUCUACCUCGGCUAGAUCUUGGGAGUUCGCGUAGGAAAAGUUUUGUUUAUCUCUACGCGCCCUUCAGAUGGUGGCUCCCGGCUAGUAUAUGCCCCCAAUUUGGCGGCAUAGUCCCCUGCAGCUGCAGACUCACCUUGAGUUGCCGGAGGGGCUUCCCCGGUAACUGCCUUGGGGUCGACAGAGGGCUUCGACUGCCUCUGCACGAACACCCCAGGAGGCACCUUGCUGCGUUCCGCUGCCCACUUGGACAGUUCAUCCGCAACAAAGUUGUCUUUACGCUUCACGUGCUCAAAUCGAAGUCUUUUGAACUUGGACUCCAAUUUUCGCACUUCCUCCACGUACGCUGCCAUCUGGGGGCAGUCAUAGUCCUUGUUUACCUGGUUGAUCACGAGUUGGGAGUCUCCGCGAACAACCAAGCGCUUGAUGUCGAGGGCGAUCGCCGCGCGUAGCCUGGCAAGUAGUCCCUCAUACUCUGCCGUGUUGUUGGUGGAGUUAGCGAAGUCGAGCUAUAUCACGAACUUGAGCUGGUCUCCGGUGGGCGGCUCGAUCACCACUCCGGCACCAGCGCCCUGCAAGAAGAAGGCGCCGUCGAAGUACAUGACCCAGUACCCUUCGUCCAAUCUGCCGGGAAGGCUUACUUCCGGCUCUUCUUCCUCUAUGCCUGUCGACGUCCACUCCGUGACGAAGUCAGCGAGAGUGCUUUUGAUGCUCUUGGUGUUUGUGAAACGCAGGCGAACUCUGCCAGCUCCAUUCUCCACUCGGCCACCUAGCCGGUGGCUUCACUGUUGGUGAGGGCCCUCUCCAAGCAGAACCCCGACACCACCGUGAUGCUGUGCGCCUGAAAGUAAUGGCGCAACUUCCUUGAAGCGAGCAGGAUCCCAAGCAGAAGCUUCUGGACCUACGGGUACCGUACCCGGGCAUCGCGCAGCACCGUGCUAACAAAGUACACAGGAUGUUGUACUAGCCGCUUGCGGGGGCCAGCCUGCAUGGGCUGUCCCUCGGAUCCAGGGGCAGAGGAGGUAGCCGGAGGUUCUUUCGGCUCGCCGGGAGCCCCCGCCCCUUCCGUCUCAUCCCCCGGGACUUGCUCUUCCCUCUCGGCGAUGAGCACGGAGCUCACCACCUGAUCCGUCGCUGCCAGGUACAGCAGCAAUGGCUCGCCCGGCUUGGGGGCGACGAGGACCGGCGGCGACUUCAGGUACCUCUUCAAGUCUUGGAACGCCGCUUCCGCCUCGGAAGUCCAAUUGAUUGGACCCUUCUUCAUCACCUUGAAGAAAGGCAGGGCUCGCUCGCCCAGCCUUGAGAUGAAAUGCCCUAGCGCCGCCACGCACCCGUUGAGGCGCUGGACGUCUCUAACCUUGCGGGGUGCCUCCAUCUUCUCGAUCGCUUCGAUCUUCUGUGGAUUGGCUUCGAUUCCCCUGUGAGAGACCAAGAAGCCCAGCAAGUGUCCCGAGUCCACACCGAACAUGCACUUCUCGGGGUUAAGCUUGAGCUUGAUCCUGCGGAGGUUGUCAAACGUCUCCUGCAGGUCGCCGACGAGCGAGUCCCUAUGCCGCGACUUGACGACGAUAUCAUCCAUGUAGGCCUCGAUGUUCCGGCCUAGCUGGGGUCCCAGACACUCACGCAGGGCGCGCUGAAAUGUCGAGCCCGCGUUCUUCAACCCAAAAGGCAUGCACGUGUAACAGUAGCAGCCAGCCGGGGUGAUGAACGUUGUUUUCUUCUCUUUGACUGCCAUCUUGAUCUGAUGGUAGCCGGAGAAAGCGUCUAGGAAGCACAAAGACUCACAACCCGUUGUAGAAUCUACUAUUUGAUCGAUACGGGGUACAGGGAAGGGGUCCUUAGGACAUGCACGGUUAAGAUCAGUAAAAUCUACACACAUGCGCAAUUUAUUUUCAGCUUUAGGGACUACAACAGGGUUUGCUAACCAAGUAGGCUACAACACUUUCCUGAUCGCUCCGGCGUUCUUGAGCUUCUGCACUUCCUGCUAGAUGAAGUCCUUGCGUUCUUGUGCUUACCGGCGAACCUUCUGCUUGACGGGCCGCGCGUCCGGCCGCACUGCCAGCCGAUGCUCGAUCAUGUCCCUAGGGACUCCGGGAAGAUCUGACGGCUCCCAAGCGAACACGUCAGAGUUCUCCCGGAGGAAGGCGACGAGGGUGCUUUCCUAUUUGUCGCCCAGGCUCGCACCAAUGGAGACGAUGCGUGCCUCGUUGCCGGCAUGCAGGGGCACCUUCUUGACCUUGGUGCCCUCCUCCUUUAGCUUCGUGCCCUUGCUUACGCGCGGGCUGGAGCUGGAGCUGCCCCCGGCAUCCUGCCUGGGAGCGGCCCGUGCAUUCUUCUGGGCGGGUUGUUCACCCGCAAGUGGAUCCUCGCUCCCGGCAACGUCGUAGUCGUUGGGAUCCGCACUGCGGAGGUCUUCACGACCUCACCCACGCACCAAGCAGCAUCCUUCAGGUUGCACUUGAUGGAGAGAACGUCGUAUGUUGACGGCAUCUUCAUCACGCCGUAGGCGCAAUGCGUUGCCGCCAUGAACUUGAUCAGCGUUGGCCGACCAAUGAUCCCGUUGUACGGCAACGGGGUGUGAGCCACAUCGAAAAUGAUGUGCUCAGUCCGGAACGGUUUCCGGGAACCGAAGGUCAUCGGGAGCGUGAUUCGCCCCAUGGGCUGCACCACUCCGGGAUUGAUCCCCUGGAACGGGUCGGUGGGCUUCAUCUGCUCCAGGGAGAGCUGAAGCUUUUCCACUAGCUUGGCGGACAGCAAGUUGAGGCUUUCCCCGCUGUCCCCUAGUACCUUGGUCACCGUCACGUUGUUUAUGAUCGGCGACACUACGAGGGGCAGGACCCCUUAACCCAAGGGACAGAUUUGGUCAUCGUCCGAGUUGAAGGUGAUCGGCACAUGCGACCACCUCAACGGCUGCUGCGCCUCCACGCUGGGGAGGAGGGCGCAGACCUCACACGUGAGCAGCUUCACGGCGGCGUGAGACGUGAGAGCAUAAGCUCCCCCGUGGAUGCAGGCGACGUCGCGAGGCUCCUGGAAGCCGGCUCGUCGGCGUCGUCAUCGCUUUAGACAUCCCCGUGCUGCUCAGCGCGAGGCUUGUCAUGUCCCCGGGGAGGCCGGUCCUUGCCACCGCAGGCCUAACAGCGACCCCCCACGGGUUCUCCUUUGUCGCCGCCGGCUGCGCCCCGGCCUGCUCCGCUGCGGGGGUUGUUCGGGCAGUCCCGGGAGAGGUGCUCGAUGUCUCCGCAGUUGAAGCAAGCCCCGGAAGCGUGGCGCUCCUCGUGGCGUUGCUCGCGCUUCUCCUUGACGGUCUGAAGAGUGCGGCAGUCCUGUGCGUCGUGGGUGGCGUUGGUGUGGAUGGGGCAGCGCGCGGCCACUGCCGGCUUGCUGCCCGAUGCUCCUGCCGACACUGCCUUCUUGGUGGGCCUCUGGGGAGUCCCCGGCUCCGCGGCAAGCACUUGCUUCCCGCCGCGUUUCCAGGAGCUCUUCUUCCCGGAGCCCUCUGGUGGGUUUGCCGCAGCUUUGGCGGCAAGCUCGGGCGGCAAGCGCCCUUGCUCGGCCAUCACGCACUUGUGCACGAGAGCGUAGAGAUCCCUUGUGCUCCAGAUCCGGUGCGUGUUGAGCUUCUCACGCAUCUUCGGGUCGCGGACGUUGAUGGCGUACGUGUUGAUGAUUGCGGCCGCUUCCGCCUCAGGGAUGGAGUAGGAGAGGUUGGAGAACCUGUUGGUGAAGUCCUGCAACGUCUCCCCGAUUUCUGCACGACCGUGUGCGGUUCCGCCAUGGUUCUCGGGCGCUUGUAGCCGCCCUGGAACGCGUUCACGAACUACUCGCGCGGGUCAGCCCAGCAGGCUAUGGACCCGGCGGGCAGGUUGAGCAACCAAGUCCUCGCUGAUCAUUUGAGGACCAUCGGGAAACAGUUGGCCCUGACCUUGUCGUCGAUGCCAAUGGCGUGCAUGCCCAACGUGUAGGUCAGGAGAAAAUCCUUGGGGUUCACGGUCCUGUCGUACGUCCCGAGCAUCGGCGCUUGGAACUUGUGGGGCCACGUCACCCGGCGCAGCUCGCGAGUAAACGCGGCGCAGCCGUCCUCGGCGCCUAUGGGAGCAUCCUCCUGCUCCUCUGGGCGCUGGCAUUCUGCCUCACGCCAGCACCGGCGCUCCAAGCACUGGCAGGGGUCUUCCUGCUGGUGAGCAUUCAAGACGCCUUGCGCGUCACCCCGUGUAAUGGUCGGUGACGAAUCCGAGGACCCCACGGGAUACUCGCCUCCUUUCCCUCCCAACGGGGGAGGGUGUUCUCCGUGGCCCGAGACGCGGGGCGCAUCUUCGCAUGCCGGAUCUGCCCUCGGCCUGAACCAGCCGGGGCGCCCUCGCCUUGCGGCUGUUGGGCGGCGAGUGCAAGGAGCGCGUCUAGCUCCGCACUCCAUGCUUCGUGCGCUGGUGUACCUUGCGGUGGCUCGUAGCGCACCAUGACACGCGCGGCUAUGAUGGCUUCCGCCGGGGUCUACCGAUGGCCGAGGAGGUGGAGGUGGCAGCUGCGACUGCUGCUGCUGCCGUGGAGAGGACCCCUGAUCCCCUUGUGCUUGUGACGCGCGCGCAGCGUCAUGGGACCGAGUGCGCAUGGCGAGAGUGUCGCGCAAGUCGACCCGGGGCUCGUCUGCCUUCUUAGGCGGCAUGGCGAGCUAGUCAUUGAAGAUGUCGUAGGCGAAGAAGCCGGUGUUGAUGACGAUGACGCCGGCGGUCACCUGAAGCUCUCUGCACGCCCCCCUACCUGGCGCGCCAGAUGUCGGAGCACGGUCUCCGGCACCCGGGAUGCCGAGCACCCCCUUUUCGGUUUGGAGGAGGGCGAGGGGAUCGCUCCGGCGAUCGCCGGCGUGGCGAUAGACACAAAGUGUAGACACAGAGUUUUACCCAGGUUUGGGCCACCCGGAGGGGUAAUACCCUACGUCCUACUUUGAGUUGUAUUCACAAGUUUGAGAGCGUACAGAUCACCCGGGGAGUUCCCGAGUUGGCUACUUAGGUGAACGCUAUGCUAUGUUCUACUCACUCGGGUUUGAACUGAGCUGAAUCCUUUAACCGAUGGCAUUGGUCCUCCUUUUAUAGACAAGGGGAUACCACAUGUGGCUAUGCAUGCAGGGUGACACGUUGCCUAGACGUGUGUCACAGCUAUAUGGAAUACACUUUUGCUCAUCCACGUGAGACGCCAUGCAGCUCCCGGUCCACUGUGCACGGUAGAAAAAAUGGUUCUCAAGGUAGCCGCUCUAGCCUUGCUACAAGGCUAGACCUGCUGAUAAGACUCCUGUCAGAGCAUUAAAUGCACUGUGCCCGCCGUUUUGUCCUGUCUUCACUGUUCUGUAGGUCCCGCUUGCAUGCCCGAGCGCGGGUUGCUGGGGUGCACCUUCCCCGCUAGCGCACCGGCUAGUUGCUGGGAGGCGUUCCUUCGGCUUCCCGGGACCAGGGUUCCCGGGAGCAUCUUGUACUCGUCCCUUAGCUUUAGCUUCACUAGGGGGCGUCUCCUCGAGGCAGGCUUCCCGGGCUCGUCGCUUCCCGGGAGUCCUUCCUGAUGGGGCUCCGUCACUGGCGACCCACGCGUCCCGUAUCAGUGGGACCCCGUGGGCCACUGGUACGACAGGCAUGAAUGUCGGGCAAAUAUAUCUCCAGCAUGUCAAUGCAAAGGGACAGGAGAAGAAAAGGUGAUCACUGGUUUCCAGCUGGAAUUGAUUGCAGAGGAUGCGGUUGUAAUCUUGCAAGUGGAAGUUCUUUUUCUGUAGCAUGGCCCGAGUGUUGAGUCUAUCAAUCAAAGGGAGCCACAUGAAGACCUUAUGUUUGAGCUGACAACAUGAUGACCAAUUCCAUUUGAGUGACAUGGGAAUUUCAAUGUGAGCAAUGAAGGAUUGGUAGAUAUUCACAGUAGAGUAACCAGGAUCAUUCCAUGGAUAUAGCCAUGUAUGUCGUUCAUCAGUUCUGUUCAUGUUUGUGCAAAGCAGAGUGAGUUCCAGGAAUUGUUGAUGAGCUCCAGCCGAAAGUGGCAGGUGGAAGAGAUCAGUGAGCUCUUGUUGAUUUGCAAUGUCCCAGUUGGUGGAGAACUGAUUGAUGACAAAUGAGUGCAGUGUGGCCAAGUGUGGGCAAGUGGAUUAUCCUUCCAUCUAUCCAGCCAAAAGAGAACUGUAUUCCCAACCUGAGCGUUGCAAUGUGCAAUUUCCUUGUAUUCAGGUAAUAGUUUCAACGUGUCUUUCCACCAAAAUGAUGCCUCAGGUGUAUUAUGUAUGGGCAGAUCAUGUGAAUAGUAUUGUUCCCAUACAAGGUUAACCCAUGGAAGAUUAACUCUAUUGUAAAAUUUAUGCAGAUUCUUCCUGAUCAGAGCUUUGUUUUGUAGUUCCAUGUUGAUGACCCCAAGUCCCCCUUCAUCUUUCGGCCUGCAAACCAUUUCCCAUGCUGCAAGUGGAGGGUUUUUCUUUGUAAGAUCUUGUCCCCGCCAGAGGCAGUGUCUUCUAUAUUUGUCAAUCUGUGUUAUCACUCCUUUAGGCAGGAUGAAUGUGCUCAUCUGGAAAGUGGGUAAAGCAGAAAGGAUAGGAUGAAUUGCAAUUUUCCUCCAUAUGAGAGCAUACCGGAGAAACAAGAAAGUCUGCUUUCAACUCUUUUGAUCAGAGGCAUGAAUUCCUCAAUCUUUGGCUUUGUAGUACCAAGUGGAAGGCCGAGAUAUGUGAAUGGUAAGGUGCCCAUUUGGCAUGCAAGAAUAUCAGCAAAGUACUGCCCCCUUUCAGUAGUCAUAUUAAGUGGGAUCAAGCUUGAUUUGUGAAAGUUAACUUUUAGUCCAGUGGAAGCAUGAAACUGUUAGAGGAUGUCUUGGAGAAUUUGGAGUUGGUUCUCAUCAGCCUUCAUGAUAAUCAGAGUGUCAUCAGCAUAUUGGAUGAUAGGGAAAUCUGGACAACCAGAUGAGUUGAUUUUGGCUUUCAAGAUGUCCCUGAUGCAUGGCUUCAUUAAGUGCAGUCUGAAGGAGGUCAGCAACAAUGACAAAUAUAAGAGGGGAUAGUGUGUCACCCUGUGUAACACCUCUCUUACAGUGAAUCAUUUUACUAGGAACACCAUUAAGAAGAAUUUGUGAGGUAGCAGAGUGUAGUAUGUUAUUGAUCCAUUGACACCAUUUAGUACCAAAUCCCAUAGCCUGCAUAAUCUGGAUGAUGGCCUUAUAUUCAACUUUAUCAAAUGCCUUCUCAAAAUCAAGCUUGAGAAGAAUUGUCUCUUCCUUGGAUUUAUGACAUGCAUGAAUGUACUCAAAUGCCCAAGCCAGGCAGUCUUGAAUAGUUCUGGUUUUAAUGAAUCCAUGUUGAUUGGGGUGAAUCAAUUGCAUGAUUAUAUUCUGGAGUCGGUUAGCAAGGAACUUGGUGAUGAGCUUGAGUGAGCAGUUGAGGAGUGAGAUGGGCCUGAAGUCAUUGACCUUGUCAGCAGCAUCAGUCUUAGGGAUGAGUGCAAUGUGGCAGGUGUUGAUGCAGGAUAAUGAUAGGAUGCCAUCAUGGAAUUGUUGACAGAGCUCAUAGAAAUCCUCUUUGAUGAUAGGCUAGCAUUUUCUGAUAAAGUUAGUGUUGAAUCCAUCAGGUUCACGGGAUUUGUUUGUUGGAAGGUUCUUAACCACCAUGUCAAUUUCUUCAUGAGUAAAUGGCUCUUCUAUGGAGGAGAGGUCAAUGUUCUGCUGGAAGAGAUCUUGUAAUGGAAAUGUGAGAUUCCGACCCUUAGUUGUUCCAAGUCUCUCUCUGAAUGCUUGCCAGAACAUAUUGGCUUUGAUAUCAUGAUCAUAUACAAGAGACUCAUCACUCUCUUCAGACAAGCAAUUUUGCUCUUCCUGUGCUGGAUUGUUGCAAGUGAGUGAAAAAACUUUGAGUUCUCUUCUCCAAAUUGAACCCAUUUAAUUUUUCAUUUUUGUUUCCAAUAUGUGCUCGUCAUUGGAGAAUGAUGAAAUAGACAUGAUGAUCAAUUGGUUUGAAAUGAAACGGCCGGAUACAUCGAUUGGCUGGCUGGCUAGCUAGAGAUGACAGAGAACGCCGAUGAUGAUAAUUCUUCUACUGCUUGAUCCAACAUUUGAAAAUGGGACUUGGAUUUAUCCAUAGCAGGCAUGCAGUCGCUGUUCUCCAAGUCAGUCAACACGCGGCCCCGCUGCUGCUGCUGCGCCCAGAAUUCAACACGGCAAAUUAACUACGAUCAUCAAUAAGAGGGAAAGAAAGCUAGUUACGACGAAGAAGCCGGUGGCCGUGUGGGUCUGUGGCCCAUAUAUACGUGUCGAACAUCAAAUUCUUGCGAGCAACGCUACACAUACGACAUGUCAUGUACGGUACGAUGCUUGCAGCUGCCUGCCCUAUGCAGUCAGUCCAAGCUGCCUCGCUGUUCUUGAUCAAUUACUUAGCAGAGAUGAGACUCUAGAGAAUCACUUGUGCAAUUAGGCAAUAGCAGAAGCAGGGGAGGAGGAGGACAAGGAGGCGGGGUCACGCGCGCAGUUGGGCUUCACGGCCCAAUAUUUAUUUCAUGGCCCGACAGUAGAUUCAUUCUUUCCUUACAGGUCGCGCUUAGGGUUGGGCUUCACGGCCCACAUUAGAUACCUAGCCGGUCUGGUCGGGGUGUGCAGCAGCUGGACCGGGGGGCCUUCUCCGACAGAGACCAUCGAGAAAGCUAUAUCUCCGGGAGACUCCCCUGAAAAAAAAAAUCUCCGGGAGACCAUAUAUUUCUCCGUUCCAUAUUAAGUGACUUACAUUCCCAAAUAUGGAUGUAUCUAUAACUAAAAAACGUAUAGAUACGUGUAAUAGAAAGUCAUUUAAUAUGGGACGGAGGGAGUAUAUCAACACAACCAUUGAUGCAUGUUAUUUAUGUUUUCUCUUCUCUAGUAUUACACAUGUCCUUAAGUACAAUCAAAUGCAAAGGUUUGAAGCUAAACGAUCUCGUCGUUACCAUGAUAAACACCAUUUACGGAUGCUGGUACCGUGUUUACGCUGCUCGUUCCGGUAGUCCACAGGUUUGAGGCCACCGGCGCCGCCAUGAGAUGCAGGAACGGGUUCACCGGCUCAUCAAUGUCCAUCUCGCCCUCGAGCAUCUUCACCACCGCGCUCAUCGGCGGCCUCGCCUCCGGCUGUUGCUGCACGCACCAGAAUGCCAUCUUGCACAUCCUCUCCGCCGUCUCCUCGUCCUGCUCGCCCACGAUCUCCAUAAGCACGCCGCUCUCGUACUUGAUCCAUGCCAUCUUGGGGAACCACUGUUGGCUCUCGGGCACGGCCUCGUCGAAGUUCCUCCUCCGGCCGAUGAUCUCAAACAAGAAGAUGCCAAAGCUAUACACGUCGCACUUUUCGGUGGCGCCGGCCUGCAUCCACAUCUCCGGUGCGGCGUACCCAGGGGUGCCACGCAUCCCGGACACGUCUUGUGUGUGUCGGCCCGGUUCAGCAGCCGUGCAAGCCCGAAGUCAGCCACCUUGGGUGUGAGGCUGCCAUCAAGGAGCACGUUGCCAGGCUUGAUGUCGUAGUGCACGAUCCUGCUGGCUCUCCUCGUGGAGGUACCGGAGGCCCCUCGCAACACCAACGGCAAUGGCACGCAGCGUCGGGAAGCCAACACCACGGUUCCGAUCAUUGAAGAGGUAGGCGUCGAGCGCGCCGUGCUCCAUGUACUCGUACACCAGCGCGCGCACGCCACCGGUAGUGGUGGCGUCGAAGCAGAAACCGAAAAGCCUAACGAGGUUUAUGUGGUGCGUCCUCCCGAUGGUGCCCACCUCCGCCAUGAACUGCUCCUGGGAGGUCCGGUCAUUGGAGGUGGCGUGGAGCCGCUUCACGGCGACCACAAGACCGUUGGGGAGCAUGCCCUUGUACACGGUGCCAACCCGCCGGCGCCGAGCCGGACCGAGUAGUUGUUGGUGAAGCCAGAGAGCUGCUCCGGGUGAACCUGAUGGGCUUCUCGCCGGCGAUCUCCUUGAGGAACCUCUCCACGGUGGCGUCCCGUAUCUGCGAGUCCGGCACCACCGCGUACAACGACGACGAGGCCGGCGCCGCGACAGCGCUGGUGGUGUUGAUGUUGAUGGCUGGGAGGCCAUUCUUCUUGACGUACCUGUACACGAAGUAAGCUAUGGCGAUGGAUCCCAGCAAGCCCAACACCCCAAAAACUGCAUGUCGAAAUUCAGGUAAAACACGCGUAAAACAAAACAGAAAAUUUUCUCCUGAAUUGAUUCUUGAACACGAUUUUAAUGGAUGGAACUGUGGAUUUGCUUGUACGCUCACCGACGCCGAUGACCGGCACGUUGGUCAUUCCGUUGUUGAGGUCUUUGAAGGCUUCGUUCAUAUCAGCCGGCGGCGGGAUAAAAACAGACAUUGCUGAUGAACUUUGUUUGUGAAAUGAAAGGGCCGGCUGGAUAUAUAUCGAUCGUUUAGCCAGAACGCCAAGGACGAUAGCUCUACUCGAUAGUUCUAACUUGUACUGAGUACUGUUUUAAAACGGGAACUGCAUUCAUAUUUAUAUAGGAGUAGUAGUACGUACUAUAGCAAGAUCCAUCCACGCACGUGUCGGUUCCAGGGGUUCGUGGCACCUACGCGACCCCGGAAAUGUACACCGGAUCACGGCCAACUGGCCAAGUAUUCAACACGGCAAAUUAACGAGGAUGCCGUGUGGCCCAUAUAUAUAUAUACGUGUCAAACACUCAAAUUCUUGCGACCCAUACGACAUGUCUUGUAGUACAAUGUUUGCACGAAACAGCUGCCCUGUGCAGUCAAUCCAAAGCUGCAUCGCGGUUGUACAACUCGAAGGAGAUUGCAGUCACACACACAGCCACGGAUGUACACAAAAGAGUUAAAUAAACAUACAAGAUUCCUCGAAAAAUAAAACAUACAAGAAAGAGUGAGGAGCUCUUUUUCUUUAUUACUCCCCCAAUCCAUAAGAAUACGUAGUACUCCCGAAGGAACGUUGACCGCUGACCAUCCUGAACGAAAUGGCUCUCCGUCUACGUCGAACAAUCAGGCAAUAGCACAAGGAGGAGACAGAUCCUUCCAAAAAAAAAGGAGGACGGGAAGGAGGCGGGGGAGGACAGAGGAGGAUCAAGUCACGCGCGUAGCUGGGCUAUUCCAUGGCCCGACAAUAGUGAUAGAUUCUUUCCUUAUGUGGGUCGUACUUAGGGUUGGGCCUCACGGCCCACGUUAGGUGCCCGGCCUGGUCCAAUCCGGUCCGGUCGAGGUGUGUGCAGCUGGACUUGGGCCCUUCUCCGACAGAGACCAUUCAGUUCGACGCGGACCGAGCUCUCAGAAGAAAAAAUGAAAGAGUUCGACGCGGAUCGAGAAAUUACUACGGAGUACUUCGCGGUCGCUGGAAGCCCCGAAAAGGAAGAAUGAAUGACGGCGUGGGUGACGUGGCGCGGCGAUCCGACGUGGCCCAAUAGCACCUGGCGGCGCCUUAUCCGAUGGCAAUCCGGCCUCAUCCCAACUCCAUCCACACGCUCACCACAAAUACUCUCGCGCUUUCCCGUCCCCACCAAAUCUCCUUCGUUUAACGCCUCAGCACACGCCCUGCCCAAGCUCUUCUUCCAGCCCAAAUCCCCAGCCAGCAGCAGCACAAGACAUCUAUCCAGCAAUGGCGUCCACCUCCUGCUUCCUCCACCAGUCCACCGCCCGCCUCGCCGCCUCCGCCCGCCCCUCCGCCGCCCGCACCCAGAUCCUCGUCUGCAAGGCCCAGCAGCACGACUCCUCCGACGCCGCCACCACCCGCCGCGCCGCCCUCUCCCUCCUCGCCGGCGCCGCCGCCGCCGCCUCCCUCAAGGUCUCCCCCGCCUCCGCCGCCUACGGCGAAGCCGGUACGUAACAGAGAUCUUACCCGCCGUUUGGUCCCAACAGAUCUCUCUCUAAUUUGGUUGAUUUCUCUGUAUGUGCAGCGAAUGUGUUUGGGAAGCAGAAGAGCACGGAGUUCGUGGCGUACAGCGGGGACGGGUUCAAGCUGAUGAUCCCGGCGAAAUGGAACCCGAGCAAGGAGCGGGAGUUCCCGGGGCAGGUGCUGCGCUACGAGGACAACUUCGACGCCACCAGCAACCUCUCCGUCAUGAUCACGCCCACACCCAAGAAGUCCAUCACCGACUACGGAUCGCCCGAGGAGUUCCUCUCCCAGGUCGGAUACCUCCUCGGCCAGCAGUCCUACGGCGGCAAGACCGACUCUGAGGUAGUACCCAUUUUCUUUCUACUUCUUUCUUCAAUCUUGAUCCAUUAGAGUGAGUGAGUGAGCGAGCGAGUUCGAUCUUAAUUGCAGGGUGGGUUUGAGUCGGACGCGGUGGCGACGGCGAACGUGCUGGAGAGCGCGGCGCCGGUGGUGGGGGGGAAGCAGUACUACAGCAUAACGGUGCUCACGAGGACGGCGGACGGGGACGAAGGGGGGAAGCACCAGCUCAUCACGGCCACCGUCGCCGACGGGAAGCUCUACGUCUGCAAGGCGCAGGCCGGGGACAAGAGGUGGUUCAAGGGCGCAAAGAAGUUCGUCGAGAACGCAGCCGGUUCAUUCAGCGUCGCUUAAAAGGAAUUCAUAUAUAUCCUGUUCGUACGUCGAAUUUGCUCAGGGAUGCACACCAUUUAAGUGUAGAAGAGAUAUGUCGAGCAUACUGUAAGAGUGUGUUU
rnacentral:lncRNA from 1 species